AGCUUUCCCGGUAAAGCGUCUGUCUGCAAUGCAGGAGACCAGGGUUCAAUCCCUG
rnacentral:tRNA from 1 species